UAACCUGAAGAGGGAAGAAUAAUUCUGAUCUGUAAAGGGCAUUUCCUAACUAGAGUACUGAAUUGAAUUCUAGGAGCCUAUGAAAAACAAUACCAAGUUGAUGCAGGAUUCCGUUUCCUCGAUUCUUUGAAAGCGCAGACUGCGAUGGAAAGCUACCUUUUGUACAAAUAAUUAGGAGAAUGGGACGGAGACACUAUGGGAGAACUUCAGAUAUCACCAGCUUUUCUUUUUAAUCACAAAGAAGGCUUGCAGAUCCUUCAGACGUUUUAUGCAUUUCUAAACCCUAAGAAAGGGGCUUAGCAUCUUCUCCCUCUGGUUCAUUACCCCAACACAGGGUUUUUACAGCUGAACUUUCUGCAUGUUUACUCAGAGUAAGUAAGACCCAUUGAACUUAAUGAGCCUUACUUCCAUGUCAGUGGGAUGAUGAGGACUUCAGACUUGUUUUCCACCAUUGGAAGAUUAUUGCUUGAAAACUAGGUAGCUGAAGACAUUCCUUCUUACAAGACAAACAUAACCAUAGCAUGGGAGAAAAGACACAUUUCAGAUUCUCCAAAACAUUGUAUUUCAUCCAAAUAAUCCUGAAAUAAUAGAACGGGCAGAGCCUAAGAAGCUCCUUUUCACACACAAGUUAUACAUAUGUAAUACUAGUUUUAGCAACAUUAAAAUAACAACCACCCUGAGAACAUGAACAAGGAAAGCAGAAAUAAUAUUUUACAGGUCCUCUCAUUUUUGGUUUAUUUUCCCCAAGUAAAAGGUGAGAGAUAUGAGAUUAAAGUUAUUCCCCUGUGAUGGGCUUGGAUAGCCAAGGUAAUCAAAAAGAAAAACU